GUUACAGCACUGAUACAGCAGCACGUAUCUCUGCAGGGGACAGGAGGCACCGGGGUUACAACACUGAUACAGCAGCGUGUAUCUCUGAGGGGGACAGGAGGCACUGGUGUUACAACACUGAUACAGCAGCACGUAUCUCUGCAGGGGACAGGAGGCACCGGGGUUACAGCACUGAUACAGCAGCGUGUAUCUCUGCAGGGGACAGGAGGCACCGGGGUUACAGCACUGAUACAGCAGCACGUAUCUCUGCAGGGGACAGGAGGCACCGGGGUUACAACACUGAUACAGCAGCACGUAUCUCUGCGGGGGACAGGAGGCACCGGGGUUACAACACUGAUACAGCAGCGUGUAUCUCUGAGGGGGACAGGAGGCACCGGGGUUACAACACUGAUACAGCAGCGUGUAUCUCUGAGGGGGACAGGAGGCACUGGUGUUACAACACUGAUACAGCAGCACGUAUCUCUGCAGGGGACAGGAGGCACCGGGGUUACAGCACUGAUACAGCAGCGUGUAUCUCUGCGGGGGACAGGGGACACUGGUGUUACAGCACUGAUACAGCAGCACAGGAGGCAGCAGAAUU